GGCCAGUGUCUAAUAAGUGGGUUAAAGGACACGCAGAGGAUUCCUGUACAGUUCACAGUCUAUGCUGCCUCUGUGGAUGACUGGAGUCGCGUCAGGGAGCGCGGGCCGGUAGCCAUGGCAACUGGUUGCAGCUGUCGCAAUGACGUCGAUCCCUAGCGCCGGAAGCACUGCACUCGGCCGGGACUGCAACGCAUCUCACGGAGGGAGUCUUUUCUCUUCUCCUGCCUACUUAAGGCUAAUCCUGAUCCUGCUGAGCCAGAAGCUAACGUCACUGGGGGAUACAGGCACUGAGUCCUGGCACAGAUUCAACAAUUCCGGGUGCUGAAUUAUUUAAGCUGAACGGAUUCUGAAUUGUUAUAGAAAGUGAAGUGUUAUGAAGCCCCUCCCAUGUAAGAGAGCUUUCCUGUCACACAGAAGUGUGAUAAUCCUCUCACGAUGCACCAGCUUGGCAGAGUGGCCUAGAGGCGAGGCUGGAGUAUAACAUUACUGUGGUCUGUGGAGUUUCUGGGGCAAGGUCAGGUUGGAGGACGAAUGAAGUCACAGAAAUCACUCAAAGGCACAAAUCUAUUCAUUUUCUCUAAGGGCCUUAUACAGGUUUGUUAGCAAACCAAAAGAGCACACUAAUGGCCAAAACCAUGUGCACUGCAGGUGGGGCAGAUAUAACAUGUGCAGAGAGAGUUAGAUUUGGGUGCAGUGUGUUCAAACUGAAAUCUAAAUUGCAGUGUAAAAAUAAAGCAACCAGUAUUUACCCUGCACAGAAACAAUAUACCCCACCCAAAUCUAAAGGGCCCCAUACACUAGAACGAUAAUGCCCGCUUUCAUCCGAUUUCGACCUUUUGGGCCGAUAAAUCGGAUGAAAAGUGGCAAAUCGGUUUUGUGUUUUACGGCCCUCAUUCCGAGUUGUUCGCUCGCUAGCUGCUUUUAGCAACAUUGCACACGCUAGGCCGCCGCCCUCUGAGAGUGUAUCUUAGCUUAGCAGAAUAGCGAACGAAAGAUUAGCAGAACUGCUAAUAAAUAAUUCUUUGCAGUUUCUGAGUAGCUCCAGACCUAUUCCUAGAUUACGAUCACCUCAGUCCGUUUAGUUCCUGGUUUGACGUCACAAACACGCCCUGCGUUCGUCCAGCCACUCCCCCAUUUCUCCAGACACUCCCGCGUUUUUCCCUGACACGCCUGCGUUUUUUAGCACACUCCCGGAAAACGCUCAGUUACCACCCAGAAAUGCCCCUUUCCUGUCAAUCAUUCACCGAUCAGCAGUGCGACUGAAAAGCGCCGCAGGAUCCACAGCAAAACUGCUAAGUUUCUAGUUAAAUAACUAAGCGCAUGCACCCUGCGUGCCUUGCGCAUGCGCAAUUAGCAACAAAUCGCAGCAUAGCAAAAAUCGGCAACGAGCGAACAACUCGAAAUGACCCCCUACAUCCGAUCUGAUCCGGUGCGCGGUCCCGUGAGCAUCGGAUCGGAGCCCCUAGGUCGUUAGUGCUGCACUCGUGAUAUGUCGGAUCCCGCAGGCAUGGCUGGGAUCGCAUACGAUACAUCGUAUGCAAAAGGGCGGUUCAAGUGAAAUCGCAUCAGACUUUAGCCUCCAACAUGUCGCUGUAGUGUAUGGGGCCCUUAACUCUCUCUGCACGUUAUAUCUGCCCCACCUGCAGUGCACAUGGUUUUGCCCAUUAGUGUGCUAACAAACCUGAAUAACCCCCUAAAGCAUUAUCAUUCAGAUCCGUCUGAUGUAAAACAUUUUUGAGUUAAUAUCGUUCACUGUAUGAAGGCACGGCUAUUAUGGGACAAUUGCUUUGCCUUUAGUCCGUUUGGUAGGGUCGUGUGCGUUGUAGUGUAGUGCCAUAGGUCUCAAUUUCAUCCCUCAAGUUUUCCCAGUAACUUAUAUUGUGAGGCUUUCUGUCAGUUAAAGCGGGUGGUAUCAUUACAGCAUAAGAGAUUACCUCACUUGUGCUUGAUUAAAGAAAUUCACAAAACAUAACCUGUGGGUGGUACAUGAGGACUGGAGUUGAGAACCACUGGUGUACUGUAUGGCCAGUAUUAGUCCAUAUAGAGCAGGGGUGUCAAACACAAGGCCCGCGGGCCAAAUCCGGCCCGCCAGACCUCGUCUGAUGGCCCGCGGUGCCGCCGCCAGCCUUGCAGCC